CUGCCCAGUGAUUAAGUUUAAACGGCCGCGGUAUCCUAACCGUGCAAAGGUAGCAUAAUCACUUGCCUAUUAAUUGUAGGCUAGAAUGAAUGGAUAAACGUAAUAAAAACUGUCUCAAUUAUUAUUAUAUAAAUUAACAUUUAUCUGAAGAGUGAUAGAUUAAUUCGAAGGACAAGAAGACCCUAUAGAGCUUUAUCUUUAAUAUGAACCCUCAUCAUAUAGGAGAUUCGGUUGGGGCGACCGGGGGCCGACAAAUAAAUCACCCCCUUACAGAAAGAUAAAUUAAUCAAAAUAGUGACCCUAAAAAGAUCAUAAGAACAAGCUACCUUAGGGAUAACAGGCUAAUCUUAUUUAAGAGUUCAUAUCUACAAUAAGGUUUGGCACCUCGAUGUUGGCUUAGGGAAUCACCCUAGCGCAAAAGUUAGGUAAAGAUGGUUUGUUCAACCAAUAACCCCCU
rnacentral:rRNA from 1 species